GACACAAAGAGAGAGAGAGAGAGGGAGAGAGAGGUUGGGUGUUAGGAAGCCAGCAAAGCACACAUUCCAUUAGGUAGUAAAUAUUGACUCAGCAGCGGACAACUAGUUUCUAUUGCAAGGCAAACAAAGGCAUUGUUCAGAUAGAGGGUCAGGGUGUGUGUGUGUGUGUGUGGUGCACAUUUUAUACUGAGGAGAGAUAAGUGGGCAGUCUGUGCCACACCGGCUGCUGCUCUCUCGUCAUCAGCAGGCUUCGGCUCUCAGACAGAAAGAUUUUACUGAGCCAGACAGAGACUGGAGGUCAUUCACCAGACUGACGAGUCCUGCAUUCUGUUGUGUUUUGUUUCGGACAACCAGGAAAUGCCAUCAAUGAGGUGACGUUGGCAGGAGAAAGGACAAUACGAGGAAGGAACCUUGAGAGGAACCCAUCUUCAUCUGGGUGACACUGGAUAGUGGGAUUAUAAAUCAUUUAUCAGUCAUCUUUAGAAAGCACUUUAUCCUGGUCAGAGUCAGAGUGGAUCCAGGGUUUAUCCCAGAAACAAAAGGCGUGGCUCUCAUGAUGGAUUAGAACAGUAAACCUGGCUUGGCCUUGCGCCAUCUCGGGUUCGGACAAGUCAGGCUCCACCCACUUCCUGUGAUGAAACGCUGACUGAUGGUAACCUGCACGUGUGUUGCAGCAAUUACGUUGUGCGCUGCCUUGCACAGUACAUUACACAGAGCAUUACACAUAAUUCUCUGAAAACUGGAUGUGAUCUCCCUCACACACACACACACACACACGUCUUACAUUCUUGGACUGGUUCUGCUAUGCAGGUUUGCUUCUACAAGGGUGUCUUAAACCUGAGUAGAACGUCACACUUGCACUACCACACACAGACACACACACACACACACACACACACACGUACACACAGGCUUUGGGAACACCAUAUGAUUACGGUCAGAUGUUUUGGAUUGUACGCAAAGUCUGUUUCUUGUUCGAUUUUCCACCAUGUAAUCUAAAACAGAGGCGGUUUGAGAUUUUAAGCCUAAACCUGUCAAAGGAAAAAAAACAACAACAAAUCAAAAGUGUAGUGUGUUUACUUAAUGCCCUGCAGAGGCUAGGGCACACUCAGUCAGCUUCUCUCUUUGAAAUUGACAAACACACACACACACACAGUGACAGGAAGUGCACAGUAGCACAUUCCAUGUGAUUAGAGUGACAUGGCAGGACCUUUUCAUUGUGUCGGAUGUGGAGUGCUAGCGGCUGGACUGCAUCCAAAUCAACCAGUUCAUUCAUAAACAAACCUUGGGAGGGUCCAGGGCACAUGGGGAUCACAGCAGACGAAAGAAAGACCGAAAUUAACUCUCUCUCCCUCUCUCUCUCUGUAUCUCUGUCUCUCUCUCUCUCUCUCUCUUUUGCCUAUCUAUUUUUCCACAGCAGAAAAUACUAAAGGUUUUGGCAUCAUAAAACAAAAACUGGUUCAGUACCAAAGAUUCAAGUGCCACAUCAAGCCACAGCAGGCCGUGCUUCCCACUGAUCAGAAGAGUGCUCUUAGGCAUGACUCCACGAGUUAAAACAACAUGAUAUAAUACACCAGUGUUCAAUAAACAGUUCAAUUUAUUAUUAAUAAUAUUUGCAAUAAACAUUUCCUCCACGCCGCUUAGUCCAUUAACACUAAUCUUUUGUUGCUAAGCAACCUAACGGGCAAAGAUUAGGUUAUUCCAUGGGCAUGAGCAAUGGCUUAAUGAUAAGGAUUACUGUUUAUUUAUAAAAUGGUGAUGGAAGCAAACAAAUAUGUUAACAUGCAGUGUUCUGUAAAUGAUUAUUAAUGAUUUGUUAGUAAUAUUCCCAAUGAACCAUUCGUCCGUUUAUAUUUCACAGUUGAGCUGUGACUAAUAGUCUGUGUAUAUUAAGGAUUUUAGCUCAAACAUGUCACAGCCAAUUGGAUUCUUGUUUCGUCUGCACUUAUUCCUAAUCGCUUAUCCAUAUACACAUUGUUAAGUUACGUAGCCUUUAUCUGUCACAUAUACAUUACUGCACAGUGAAAUUCUUUCUUCACAUAUCCCAUCCUUGGAGCCUGGGGUCAGAGCACAGGGUCAGCCAUGAUGCAGUGCUCCUGGAGCAAGGGGGGGGGUUGAGGGCCUUGCUCAAGGGCCCAACAGUGGCAGCUUGGUGGUGCUGGAACUUGAAUCCCAAAUCUUCUGAUCAACAACCCAGAUCACCCUUAUCUACUUAAGCUACCACCACCACUUGUAUUAUAUAUUAUUUAUAUUAUAUUGUUAUUUUAUAUGUAUAUGUAUAUUAUAUGUAUUGUUAUAUUAUAUGUAUGUAUCAUAUUGGGUUCAUGGUUCAUUUACUGAGGUGUCUGGGAAGCGAAAACACUCAGCUGCAGCGUUAUUAGUCCAUUUUGCUUCCUUCACUCCAUCAGUUUUUGUCUUGGCAUUAUUGUUAAUACACCGUACAAACCCUUAGUCAAGCCUUUUUGUUGUUAAUUAUCUCGCUAAUAUAAGCCAGAAUCAGAGCGUAAGUGCAACGCCGGUGUAGUAAUUAACGUUAUGAGACAACGUGAAGGUUAUGAGUUCAAAUCCCAGGACUGCCACAGAGCCCCUGACAUUUACUGUCAUCACCGUGAAUUAACUCGAACCCCGAUUUCUCUCCGUUCCUGUUCUUAUUUUUCAAAAUGUCCUCUUUCCCAUCUCGCCGUACCUGACUCGCACACACAACCUCUAAAUGUCAGAUUUUACUAUCCGAGGGCAAAAAAAGGAAGACAGAACUGGAGGAAAAAGAGGAGUUUCAUUUGAAUAAUGUCUGUGUCAGCGACCGGGCCUCUCCUUCAGCCCCUGUCCCCAGGGGGAAAAUCCUCUACAAUUUACCACAGCAUGACGAUACACAGUGGUCCAGGUUUUCUCCGCCCGCUGAGGGGGAGAGCGAGAGAGAGAGAGAGAGAGAGAGAGAGGCCUCACCUGCUCACAUUUCACAGCACAUAUCGAUUUAUGCCUUACGGUUUCAGCUUUAUUCGUUUAUUUAUUUCAUUUUAUUCUUUGUGAUGAUAUAAAGUUUCCUUGUAGGCUGACAUUGCAGCGGGAAGAAAAGGCUUAGCUGGCAUA